UGUUAAUGUUUGUCAGGAGGGGUCUUUUGCAUUGUGUGUUAGUGCUGAUUGUGUUUGUUCUGAACAAUGCUUUUAGAAGUCUGAAUCCAGUCAAAGUCCAAUAAGCAUCAAUCAUAUCCAGCUUCCAGAGUACCUGUUUCUUAAGUGCUCGGGAACACUUUGCAGAAGGCUUCUCUGUUUCAGAGUAUUGACUACAGAGUAUUGCACAAGAGCCUCUUGGGCUUCAGGAGAAGCAGGCGUUUCAGGGACCAGUGAAGCCUUUGGAUUGGAGGUUUCCCACUGUUCCAGAAGUGCUGAGCAAGAUGGCGGUGGACUUUCAUUUAAGGCAACCUGUGACCCCUAGAAGUGUAGCUAUUCAAUGUAGUGAGAACCAGGUUCAUCUGGAGGUAUAGCAGGACUUGUUUAGCAAUGGAAAACCGAUCCAGCCAUCUGGUUUGGCUGUAGGAGGAUGUCCUGUUGUUGGUUUGGUCUCAGGCUCAAAGGUGCUCUUCUUUGAGAAUGAACUGCAGGUCUGCAACCGUGUUGAUGGUGGCUUGUUGCUGUGACUCAACCGGUGUUCCUGAUGGAGGAACUGCUGCUUCUCCUUUUUGGAGGCCUUCAGUGGGAAGGAAAGGCCUCGCUCGGUCCUGUAGUGGUUCAAGAGCACAAAAAGACUUUAGCUGGUGUUCUAUAAAUGUGGGGAGAA